GACGGAGGAUGCAAGUGUUAUCCGGAAUCACUGGGCGUAAAGCGUCUGUAGGUGGUCAAAUAAGUCAACUGUUAAAUCUUGAGGCUCAACCUCAAAAUCGCAGUCGAAACUAUUAGACUAGAGUAUAGUAGGGGUAAAGGGAAUUUCCAGUGGAGCGGUGAAAUGCGUAGAGAUUGGAAAGAACACCGGUGGCGAAGGCGGCUAUCUGGACCGUAACUGACGCUGAGGCGCGAAAGCGUGGGGAGCAAACAGG
rnacentral:rRNA from 1 species